ACGCUCUUAGUUCAGCAUGGUAGAACGCGAGUCUCCAAAACUCGAUGUCGUAGGUUCAAGUCCUACAGGGCGUG
rnacentral:tRNA from 1 species